rnacentral:lncRNA from 1 species
UCCUUGACGACGACGGACGCCGCCGCCUGAAGCUCUAGGCUAAGCCUCCCCCGACUGACCCCCCAUACCGACACCCUUCCCUUCAAUAUCCGGCGACCACAGCGGCUGCCAUGGCCGCCUCUCCCUCACCAUUCCGGCCGACAGCAGCAGGAGAACCACCGCCGCCGACCGCAUCUGCCAUCGCCAUUACUCCCCUGCCAGACUCUACACUUACAACCAUACAGCCCACACCCGACAAAGCUCAAGACUCAAGUUUGAUUCAUAUAGCAUACAAAACAUUUCUCUAUUUCCCUUUUUAUGGAUCCAUUGUAAAAGCAGUACAUGAAUUUAUACUGUAUGCAUCAUCAAGUAAAGUUCACAUUUUUUUUUAUCAUGCUUAUAAAAAAUGAAAUCUUAUGCAGUUUAAUGCUCAUGAAAAUUUGGUGAAUUGCUAAAACGAAACUGGUUGAGUAGAAUAGGCAAGGGAGUAC